GAGCGAAUGCGGCGUGCCUAUACAUGCAGUUGAGCGCUGAAGGUUGGUACUUGUACCGACUGGAUGAGCAGCGAACCCCUUUAAAACGCGUGGGGAAUCUGCCUUUGAGCGGGGGACAACAUUUGGAAACGAAUGCUAAUACCGCAUAAAAACUUUAAACACAAGUUUUAAGUUUGAAAGAUGCAAUUGCAUCACUCAAAGAUGAUCCCGCGUUGUAUUAGCUAGUUGGUGAGGUAAAGGCUCACCAAGGCGAUGAUACAUAGCCGACCUGAGAGGGUGAUCGGCCACAUUGGGACUGACACACCGCCCAAACUCCUACGGGAGGCAGCAGUAGGGAAUCUUCGGCAAUGGACGAAAGUCUGACCGAGCAACGCCGCGUGAGUGAAGAAGGUUUUCGGAUCGUAAAACUCUGUUGGUAGAGAAGAACGUUGGUGAGAGUGGAAAGCUCAUCAAGUGACGGUAACUACCCAGAAAGGGACGGCUAACUACGUGCCAGCAGCCGCGGUAAUACGUAGGUCCCGAGCGUUGUCCGGAUUUAUUGGGCGUAAAGCGAGCGCAGGUGGUUUAUUAAGUCUGGUGUAAAAGGCAGUGGCUCAACCAUUGUAUGCAUUGGAAACUGGUAGACUUGAGUGCAGGAGAGGAGAGUGGAAUUCCAUGUGUAGCGGCGAAAUGCGUAGAUAUAUGGAGGAACACCGGUGGCGAAGGCGGCUCUCUGGCCUGUCACUGACACUGAGGCUCGAAAGCGUGGAGAGCAAACAUGAUUAGAUACGCUGGUACUCCACGCCGUACACGAUGAGU
rnacentral:rRNA from 1 species